ensembl:lncRNA
UCUCUCUCUCUCUCUCUCUCUCUCUCUCUCUCUCUCUCUCUCACACACACACACACACACACCCACUUAAGCAGAGACUAUUUGUGUAGCCACAAAAAAACCCACAAGUUGUCACAUCCGCCACAAAACUGCGUGACUCUUUAUUUUCUCAUCCCUUGCACAAAAAGUCUUCCAAAGUGUUCACCACAUUGUGUAGUGUGCUCCUUAACUCAUUCUACAUGUUUUUAUGAAGAUAAGCUGAAACAUUUCCAACGUUACUGCUUUUUUUUUCUUCAAAAAAGUGUAGUAAUGGUGUUGCAGGGUUUCAUCAUUUUGCUUUUCUUCAUCAGUAGUAACCAUGGACAUACUGAAUUCAUUUAUACAGCAAAGGAUGAAGUAAAAUUGUUUUGCGACACCAACAAAUGGGAAAUAAGCACAAAGUCUGACAACAACAUUGAUGUGAAUUGCACAGUGGAGUGUGUUCAUGGUGAAGCACUCAAACUUAAUAAUACCCAGAAUUCCUGCAAAAAUAAAGAUUCGUUCAAAGUUGGUGAAAAAUGUUCGCUAAUAGCGAGCAGUGGAUUUUAUCGAUGUGUUACUGCUCUGGAUUCUGGUUUCUUAUUUCCAUUCAAACCGUCUCCCAACACUGUCACGUCGUACAUAGUCGCCACUGCAAAUGAAGAAAUGACAAACAAGUCUGAGGAAAGAUCUUCAGUCGAGCUAACUGAAGGUGAAGAUGUACUUUUAAACUGCAGUGACAUCUUUACAGAAGAAUAUGACAACCAGGACUUUGUAGUGUACUGGAUCAAGACCAUUGGAAAGAACAGUACCUGUGUGUCUUCUUAUGAUUUUGAUUUAUAUACUCGUAUAACAUACAAUCCCCACUGCAAUGUGCAAGAAGAACUGCUUUACAGACUCUCAAACCAAACUGAAGGCAAAAUCACCCAUAACAUCAGGAUCAGUAACGUAACAGACUCAGAUGCUGGACAAUAUCUUUGUGCCUUACAAGUGCGCACACGUGCACACACGUAUCAAGUGCACACACGUGAUAAAACAAAAGGAAAGUGGAAGAUCAUAAAUAAUAUUACAGUCAGUGUACAUAAAGACAAAGGACCUGAAAUAGCUGGAAACAGUGCUGAGUCUCUGAUCCGCUUGUGUGUUACACUGCCAGUAAUACUGGGUAUUCCGGCAGCUCUUAUGGUGGUAUAUUUAUGGAAAAAGAUGAAAAUUUCACCAAGAUCUCAGGCUAUGGAACUGCAAACAAUCCAACAUUGAGAAGAAACUCCUGAUAUGAACUUUGAGGCAUGAGAGUAACACAGCACUUAGGAAGAGCUGACGUUUAAAACGUGUUAAAUAUGUGCUCUUUAUUAUGCUUUCUUUUACUUAUUGAAACUCUCCCAAUACUGUCCCAGCAUGUGUCUUUCUCAUUUCAAACCUACAAAAUUAGUCCAUUUAAUAAAUCUGACUUUGGG